AGGAUGUGGGUGGGGCCAGAUAAGGGAAUAAAAGCAGGCUGCCCGAGCUAGCAGCAGCAACCCGGUCAGGUCCCCUUUUGUGCUGUGGAAGCUUUGUUCUUUCUCUGUUUGCAAUAAAUCUUACUGCUGCUCACUCUUUGGGUCUACGCCGCCUUUAUGAGCUAUAACACUCACCGUGAAGGUCUGCAUCUUCACUCCUGAAGCCAGUGAGACUACGAACAAACGCAUUGGGAGGGACGAACAAACGCAUUGGGAGGGACCAACAACUCCGGACAUGAGGAACAAACAACUCCAGAUGCGCUGUCUUUAAGAGCUGUAACACUCACAGCAAAGGUCUGCGCCUCACUUCUUAAGUCAGUGAGACCACAAACCCACCAGAAGGAAGAAACUCCGGACGCAUCUGAACAUCUGAAAGCACAAACUCUGGACACACCAUCUUUAAGAACUGUAACACUCACCGCGAGGGUCCGCAGCUUCAUUCUGGAAGUCAGCAAGACCAAGAACCCAUUAUUCCGGACACAAAGGGGCAGCUGCUGUAGCUGUGUCACCUGACAAGCAACCAGCGCCCCCGCUGCACAAAGCAGCAGCAGCAGCAGUUUCAGCACAGCCCAGAAACGAGUGUGCUUCCGGGGGAGUGGCUUGCAGGGGCAGGAUUCGGACUUAGAUUUGGGGGCCUAAUUUGUUUCCUUGUUCCAGGGAGAAGAUGUCCAUCUAUAAGAAAGUGGUCCCUCAGCAGACACUGAAUCUGCUGGUGUCCUGAUCUUGAAUAUACCAGCCUCCAGAACUGUAACACAUGCAUGGGUGCAAAACAUGCUUCUGUGUCAUCUCACAUAGUGUGGUCAACAGAGAACACCUGGGCAGAAGAUGAGAGGCUCCUGGGGACUGGUCUGAGACAAGGUGCUGUAAAAGAAAACCUAUAUUAAAGUGGUUGGAAGUGCACAGACUGGUUGCUUCACCUGCAGCCAGAAUGCAAGACAGGUGCAAGUCAUCCCUGAGGAAGUAGUGACCAGCUGUGGAUGCUACGCUGAGGCCCUUCUUUAAGAGUGAUCUGAUGGCACUGGAUGUCUGCUGAGGCUUGUGUCUAGAAGGAAUGAAAGGAUGUGCCAACAACAGCAGUUGUCUCCUCGUUUUCAAAGCUCAGGCCUCAUGGUAUCCCCUUCUCUUGGUUCUGUUUACUAAAACAUAUCAGUGCCUGACUAUGCCUGAAUGAUCCAUCUUCCUUAAGGCUGCUACACCAUAACUAGGAGCUUUAAAAAAAAGGGGGGGGCAUUUACUCUCUGAGGCACUCAAAAAAGCACAUGCUUUUAAUUGAGGGAUGGGGGUGACAAUGGAUCAUUCUGUUGAUUUUAACUAUCUCAUAUUUGUUAACAGCAUCAUUUCCAUGGAUAGCUUUCUGAAAGACUGCCUAUCCACUUAGAGGUGAGGAGAAGUAAUAGGGGAGGAAACCCUGCCGAGCUGCAAAAAGUUCUAAAUCCAGUCCUUUAAUUAUCUUGCUUAAAAUUCUUUAUUGGCUCUUUGAUACCCUCAGAAUAAAGCAAACUGCUUAAACAUGACUUACAAAGUAAUUGCUAUAGUUUGAAUAUUGUCCCCCAAAUCACAUGUUGAAAUUGAUUCCUAGUGUCAGAGGCGGGGACUGUGAGAGGUGUUGGGGUCAUGGGGCAUAUCUCUCAUGAAUAGAUUAAUGCUCUGUCAGCAUGGGGUGGGGUUGUGUGAGUUCUCACUCUUAUUAGUUCCCAAAGAGUUGGUUAUUCAAAAAGAGCCUGGCAUCUCCCUCCUUUUUGUCUCUUGCCUCCUCUCUCACGUGUGAUCUCUGUGCAUGUGCCUUUCCGUUGCCUUCCCCAUGAGUGGAAGUGGCCUGAAGCCAAUGCUGGUGCCAUGCUUCCUGUACAGUCUGCAGAACUAUGAGCCAAAUAAACCUAUUUUCUUUAUAAAUUACUCAGCCUCAGAUAUUCCUUCAUAGCAACACAAAUAGAGUAAGACAGCCAUUAAUAUCAUGCCUAUACCUGAGACAGUGGUAUGCAUUAAACAUUACAUCUGCC
rnacentral:lncRNA from 1 species